rnacentral:rRNA from 1 species
UACGGGGGGAGCAAGCGUUGUUCGGAUUUACUGGGCGUAAAGGGCGCGUAGGCGGCCAGCACAAGUCAGUUGUGAAAUCUCCGAGCUUAACCCGGAAAGGUCAGCCGAUGACUGCGGGGCUAGAGUGCAGAAGGGGCAACUGGAAUUCUCGGUGUAGCGGUGAAAUGCGCAGAUAUCGGGAGGAACACCAAUGGCGAAGGCAGCUUGCUGGGACGGUACUGACGCUGAGGCGCGAAAGGCGUGGGGAGCAAACAGG